rnacentral:rRNA from 1 species
UACGUAGGGUGCGAGCGUUAAUCGGAAUUACUGGGCGUAAAGUGUGCGCAGGCGGCAGAGCAAGUCGAGUGUGAAAGCCCCGGGCUUAACUUGGGAAUUGCGCUCGAAACUACUUUGCUGGAGUGUGGCAGAGGAAGGUGGAAUUCCACGUGUAGCGGUGAAAUGCGUAGAGAUCUGGAAGAACACCAAAGGCGAAGGCAGCAUCCUGGGAAGCGCCUGACGCUCAUGUGCGAAAGCUAGGGGAGCGAACGGG